AUACGUAGGGGGCGAGCGUUGUCCGGAAUGAUUGGGCGUAAAGGGCGCGUAGGCGGCCCGGUAAGUCUGGAGUGAAAGUCCUGUUUUUAAGAUGGGAAUUGCUUUGGAUACUGUCGUGCUUGAGUGCAGGAGAGGUAAGUGGAAUUCCCAGUGUAGCGGUGAAAUGCGUAGAGAUUGGGAGGAACACCAGUGGCGAAGGCGACUUACUGGACUGUAACUGACGCUGAGGCGCGAAAGUGUGGGGAGCAAACAGGAUUAGAUACCCUGGUAGUCCACACUGUAAACGAUGAAUGCUAGGUGUAGGGGGUAUCGACCCCUUCUGUGCCGCAGUCAACACAAUAAGUAUUCCGCCUGGGGAGUACGGCCGCAAGGUUGAAACUCAAAGGAAUUGACGGGG
rnacentral:rRNA from 1 species